rnacentral:siRNA from 1 species
AUGACCGUUUGUACAAAUUAGUG